UACGAGGGGGGCGAGCGUUGUUCGGAAUUAUUGGGCGUAAAGGGUGCGUAGGCGGUUUGGUAAGUCUUGUGUGAAAUCUACAGGCUCAACUUGUAGUCUGCACGAGAAACUGCCGGGCUUGAGUAUGGGAGAGGUGAGUGGAAUUCCUGGUGUAGCGGUGAAAUGCGUAGAUAUCAGGAGGAACACCGGUGGCGAAGGCGGCUCUCUGGACCGAAACUGACGCUGAGGCGCGAAAGCGUGGGGAGCAAACAGG
rnacentral:rRNA from 1 species